rnacentral:rRNA from 1 species
UACAGAGGUGGCAAGCGUUGUUCGGAAUUACUGGGCGUAAAGGGCGCGUAGGCGGCCUUCUAAGUCAGACGUGAAAUCCCCCGGCUUAACCUGGGAACUGCGUCUGAUACUGGAGGGCUUGAGUGCGGGAGAGGGAUGUGGAAUUCCAGGUGUAGCGGUGGAAUGCGCAGAUAUCAGGAGGAACACCGAUGGCGAAGGCAGGUCACUGGGCCGCAACUGACGCUGAGGAGCGAAAGCGUGGGGAGCAAACAGG